GAUGAAGAACGCAGCGAAAUGCGAUAAGUAGUGUGAAUUGCAGAAUUCAGUGAAUCAUCGAAUCUUUGAACGCACAUUGCGCCCCUUGGUAUUCCAUGGGGCAUGCCUGUUCGAGCGUCAUUUGUACCUUCAAGCUCUGCUUGGUGUUGGGUGUUUGUCUCGCCUCUGCGUGUAGACUCGCCUCAAAACAAUUGGCAGCCGGCGUAUUGAUUUCGGAGCGCAGUACAUCUCGCGCUUUGCACUCAUAACGACGACGUCCAAAAGUACAUUUUUACACUCUUGACCUCGGAUCAGGUAGGGAUACCCGCUGAACUUAAGCAUAUCGAUAAGCGGAGGA
rnacentral:misc_RNA from 1 species